rnacentral:lncRNA from 1 species
CACAACCUUCUUUAGAUAGAGCGCAAUAAAAACUCUCCACCCCGAGGAGGGGCCAACAGGGAACAAAGGGGCCCCUCCAUCGGCAGGCCCCUCUCUGCUCAGAAACAACAUUGUGUCACUUCCAUAAGGUGCACAGUGAAACACUCCACACGCUAACACCUGCCUUCCAGCCUCCCUGCCACUCCUCGCUGAGUGAACAAGGGUACAAGCACAUGGUGAAGCCAAGACCCUUGGCUUCGCUGAUGACCCUGCUGCUCACAAUGUACCCACACUCCCACACAGGUGUCUCCUGCUGAGAUCCCAUCUACCCUUUGAAGGCCACUUAAAAGGCUUCUCUCACCCAACUGGAUUGCAUUUCUACCUGCUCUGGCACAUACAAAGCACUCCUUGUGCCCCCCCACCAUCCCCCCCUCUUUAGCGUCUUCCUAUUUAGGCAGAUUCACUUGUGUACUCCACUUUCCUCACCCUAGCCAUGUGGUGAGCUCACUGAUGAAUGCUGGCUCUUAUUCAUUUCUGCAUGAGCACAGGAUCUUGCCCACGCCAGGUGCCGCCCAGCCUUUAUGACUGCUAACUGGCAACAGGGGUCACUGGGACUGGUGGGUAGGUAGGAGCAGGGAGUGGGGGAAGGGGAGUCUCUUUUCUCCCUGCCUGAAAGCACACCAGUGAUCACACUAGUAAAUAAUAACUUCUCUGAGUCCCAGGAGUGGCAAUGAGACAGAGUUGGAAAACAGAGCCUCAGAGAGCUACAAAUCCCUGAGGAGUGGCCACAGGAAACAUCCUGCCAUGGGGACCCAGAAAAGGGAUGGAGAAGCAAAGUCCCCAGAGGGCAGGGAUGGAGACUGGAGGCUGACAAAGAGGUCAGAGAAAAAGUCAGGUGGAAAUCGGGCAAAAAAGAAGAAAUUUAGGGAAUGGAUCAAAGAGAGCACGAUAGUGACAGAGAAAGCAGGAAGGGAGGGACAAGAUGAGAGAGGGGGCUGUACAGAGGCAGCAGGACACCUCAGACGGGUGUUUCAUCUCAGACAUGGAGGCCAGAUCUGUGCCCCAUCCAGUGGCAACGCUUCUGAAACUUCGAAAAGCAGACUGACUUGCCUCUCUGACUCUCUGUGUGACCUUGGACAUCUGCACUUGGACAUCACAGGACAGACAACAUCGGGUCCACCAGCUAGCUGUUCCCAAGCCUCAACAUGA